AUAUCAAUAAGCGGAGGAAAAGAAACCAACAGGGAUUGCCCUAGUAACGGCGAGUGAAGCGGCAACAGCUCAAAUUUGAAAUCUGGCUCUUUCAGGGUCCGAGUUGUAAUUUGCAGAGGGCGCUUUGGCAUUGGCAGCGGUCCAAGUUCUUUGGAACAGGACGUCACAGAGGGUGAGAAUCCCGUACGUGGUCGCUAUCCUUUGCCGUGUAAAGCCCCUUCGACGAGUCGAGUUGUUUGGGAAUGCAGCUCUAAAUGGGAGGUAAAUUUCUUCUAAAGCUAAAUACUGGCCAGAGACCGAUAGCGCACAAGUAGAGUGAUCGAAAGAUGAAAAGCACUUUGGAAAGAGAGUCAAAUAGCACGUGAAAUUGUUGAAAGGGAAGCGCUUGCAGCCAGACUUGCCUGUAGUUGCUUAUCCGGACUUUUGUCCGGUGCACUCUUCUGCGGGCAGGCCAGCAUCAGUUUGGGCAGUUGGAUAAAGGUCUCUGUCAUGUACCUCUCUUCGGGGAGGCCUUAUAGGGGAGACGACAUGCAACUAGCCUGGACUGAGGUCCGCGCAUCUGCUAGGAUGCUGGCGUAAUGGCUGUAAGCGG
rnacentral:rRNA from 1 species